rnacentral:rRNA from 1 species
GACGAACCGUACGAACAUUAUUCGGAAUUACUGGGCUUAAAGGGUGCGUAGGCGGCGCGGAAAGUAGGGUGUGAAAUCCCUCGGCUCAACCGAGGAACUGCGCUCUAAACUACCGUGCUCGAGGGAGGUAGAGGUGAGCGGAACUGAGGGUGGAGCGGUGAAAUGCGUUGAUAUCCUCAGGAACACCGGUGGCGAAAGCGGCUCACUGGCCUCUUCUGACGCUG